rnacentral:rRNA from 1 species
UACGUAGGUGGCAAGCGUUGUCCGGAAUUAUUGGGCGUAAAGCGCGCGCAGGCGGUUUCUUAAGUCUGAUGUGAAAGCCCACGGCUCAACCGUGGAGGGGCAUUGGAAACUGGGGGACUUGAGUGCAGAAGAGGAGAGCGGAAUUCCACGUGUAGCGGUGAAAUGCGUAGAGAUGUGGAGGAAUACCAGUGGCGAAGGCGGCUCUCUGGUCUUUAACUGACGCUGAUGCGCGAAAGCGUGGGGAGCAAACAGG